rnacentral:rRNA from 1 species
UACGUAGGGUGCAAGCGUUGUCCGGAAUUAUUGGGCGUAAAGAGCUCGUAGGCGGUUUGUCGCGUCUGCUGUGAAAAUCCAGGGCUUAACCCUGGACCUGCAGUGGGUACGGGCAGACUAGAGUGCGGUAGGGGAGAUCGGAAUUCCUGGUGUAGCGGUGAAAUGCGCAGAUAUCAGGAGGAACACCGGUGGCGAAGGCGGAGCUCUGGGCCGUAACUGACGCUGAGGAGCGAAAGCAUGGGGAGCGAACAGG